rnacentral:rRNA from 1 species
GACGAACGCUGGCGGCGUGCUUAACACAUGCAAGUCGAACGGAAAGGCCCUGCUUUUGUGGGGUGCUCGAGUGGCGAACGGGUGAGUAACACGUGAGUAACCUGUCCUUGCCUUUGGGAUAACUUCAUGAAACUGGGGCUAAUACCGGCUAGGAGCUCCUGCUGCAUGGUGGGGGUUGGAUAGUUUCGGCGGUUGGGGAUGGACUGGCGGCUUAUCGGCUUGUUGGGGGGGUAGGGGCUUACCAAGGCUUUGACGGGUAGCCGGCCUGGGCGGGGGACAGGCCACAUUGGGACGGAGAUACGGCACAGCCUCGUACGGGAGGGAGCGGUGGGGAAUAUUGUACAAGGGGCGGAAGCCUGAUGUAGCACCGCCGCGUGGGGGAUGACGGCAUGCGGGUUGUGAACCGCUUUCGCCUGUGACGAAGCGUGAGUGACGGUAAUGGGAAAAGAAGCACCGGCUAACUACGUG